AACUUUCAACAACGGAUCUCUUGGCUCUCGCAUCGAUGAAGAACGCAGCCGAAAUGCGAUAAGUAAUGUGAAUUGCAGAUUUUCAGUGAAUCAUCGAAUCUUUGAACGCACCUUGCGCUCCUUGGUAUUCCGAGGAGCAUGCCUGUUUGAGUGUCA
rnacentral:rRNA from 1 species